AGUGAACGCUGGCGGUAGGCCUAACACAUGCAAGUCGAACGGCAGCACAGUAAGAGCUUGCUCUUACGGGUGGCGAGUGGCGGACGGGUGAGGAAUACAUCGGAAUCUACUUUUUCGUGGGGGAUAACGUAGGGAAACUUACGCUAAUACCGCAUACGACCUACGGGUGAAAGCAGGGGAUCUUCGGACCUUGAGCGAUUGAAUGAGCCGAUGUCGGAUUAGCUAGUUGGCGGGGUAAAGGCCCACCAAGGCGACGAUCCGUAGCUGGUCUGAGAGGAUGAUCAGCCACACUGGAACUGAGACACGGUCCAGACUCCUACGGGAGGCAGCAGUGGGGAAUAUUGGACAAUGGGCGCAAGCCUGAUCCAGCCAUACCGCGUGGGUGAAGAAGGCCUUCGGGUUGUAAAGCCCUUUUGUUGGGAAAGAAAAGCAGCAGGUUAAUACCCCGCUGUUCUGACGGUACCCAAAGAAUAAGCACCGGCUAACUUCGU
rnacentral:rRNA from 1 species